UGACCUCAAAUCAGGUAGGACUACCCGCUGAACUUAAGCAUAUCAAUAAGCGGAGGAAAAGAAACUAACAAGGAUUCCCCUAGUAACUGCGAGUGAAGCGGGAAGAGCUCAAAUUUUGAAUCUGGCAGUCUUUGGCUGUCCGAGUUGUAAUCUAGAGAAGUGUUUUCCGCGCUGGACCGUGUAUAAGUCUCCUGGAAGGGAGCGUCGUAGAGGGUGAGAAUCCCGUCUUUGACACGGACUACCAGUGCUAUGUGAUGCGCUCUCGACGAGUCGAGUUGUUUGGGAAUGCAGCUCAAAACGGGUGGUAAACUCCAUCUAAAGCUAAAUACAGGCGAGAGACCGAUAGCGAACAAGUACCGUGAGGGAAAGAUGAAAAGAACUUUGGAAAGAGAGUUAAACAGUACGUGAAAUUGCUGAAAGGGAAACGCUUGAUGUCAGUCGCGUUGGCUGGGGAUCAACCUUGCUUUGUGCUGGGUGUACUUCCUGGUCGACGGGUCAGCAUCAGUUUCAGUCGCUGUACAAGGGCGAGAGGAACGUGGCACUUCUUGGAGUGUGUUAUAGCCUUUCGUCAUAUGCAGUGGUCGGGACUGAGGAGCUCAGCACGGCUUCUUGCUUGUGAUCAGGAUGCUGGCAUA
rnacentral:rRNA from 1 species